AGCGAACGCUGGCGGCAGGCCUAACACAUGCAAGUCGAACGAAGUCUUCGGACUUAGUGGCGGACGGGUGAGUAACACGUGGGAACGUGCCUUUAGGUUCGGAAUAACUCAGGGAAACUUGUGCUAAUACCGAAUGUGCCCUUCGGGGGAAAGAUUUAUCGCCUUUAGAGGGGCCCGCGUUUGAUUAGCUAGUUGGUGAGGUAAAGGCUCACCAAGGCGACGAUCAGUAGCUGGUCUGAGAGGAUGAUCAGCCACAUUGGGACUGAGACACGGCCCAAACUCCUACGGGAGGCAGCAGUGGGGAAUCUUGCGCAAUGGGCGAAAGCCUGACGCAGCCAUGCCGCGUGAAUGAUGAAGGUCUUAGGAUUGUAAAAUUCUUUCACCGGGGACGAUAAUGACGGUACCCGGAGAAGAAGCCCCGGCUAACUUCGUGCCAGCCGCCGCAGUAACAC
rnacentral:rRNA from 1 species